rnacentral:lncRNA from 1 species
GAAACGGUUAUUAUCUUAAAACAGAUAUCCUCUCUCUCUCUCUCUCAUAUACGCGAUCGUUACGAAAGCGAAAGCAAAAAUUUCGCGAUUUAUAACAUCUCUGCCUAAUUUACGAUAACUGCAUACACGCACCUAGAAUUCUGUACAUUUUCGUGUGUUUACAAAUAAAAAAAAAGUGAUGACGAUGUUGUAGAGAUGAAAACGCGAAGAAGAAGAAGACGAUAUCGAUAAGCGGUUUUAAAUUUGCAAAUAUUUUUUUUUUUUCUGGGGGAGGGAAGUAGUAAAGGAAAAAAUAAAUAAAUAAAGAGAGAAAAAUAUUAAAAUUUCGACUGCAAGAAAAAAAAAAGAAGAUCGAAAAUAGAAAAGGAAUUUUCAUCCUUUCAAUCUCGCAGUUCUUUCAUUCACAUAACACCGAGAGUUUUGCGGAUUCGCUUUUUAUGGUGAAGUGCAGUUGUGUGCUUACGUCCAGGAAAGGGGGGGUACCACGAUGGCAGUCGAUGAUAUCUCGCUUAAAUCCACUAGCGUGUCCGAAACUCGACAGAGCAGAUGUUCGAUCUCAUCUUCGUCUGGCCAGGUGCACCGUUAACACCUCACCAAUAAAUUCACCAGAAAUUCGGUCACGCAAUUUCACUAAAAAAUACAUAUAUAUAUAUAUAUAUAUAUAUA